AUCCUUUCUCCCCCUUUUCCUCUUCUCUUUCUAGGUAAAUAUAAAUGUGGGUGCAUAAUAUAGACUUUUUCUGAAUGGUUUAUAAGUUGCAGUGCUGGGAUUACAAGCGUGAGCUACCACACCCAGCGAGGAAGCCAAGUUUAACGUGUGUGCUCCACUCCUCCAACCUGGCCAAAGGGCAGUCAUCAUCACUGGCCACUACUGACCACAGCCUUUAGAAACUCCCCUUGAACGUGCUGGGCUGACCUUCCUCUGAUCACAGGCAAGGCAAAGGAAAACGACAGGCCCUUGCCUUCCUGGUCCUCAAGGGUCAGCUGUAAGAUGAUGUCAUAAAGCCGGAUCAGGUCCUGGGGCCGGGGGAAGCACUUGCUGUCAUCCUCUGGCUGCUGCUGCAGCAGAGCCCUCUGCAGACCUUUGGCCAUGCUCUCAUUACGCUUGAUUGCCAUUGACAGCUUGAUGUAAGUCAGGUUGUAGAUGAGCAUGAGAGUGUGGAGCAGAGUCGGCGAGCGCAAGUCGAGCCCAUCAUCCUGGACAGCCGUCUCCGUGCCUUCCCCAGUGAGGAAGAGCUAGGGGAAGAUGAGAUGUACUACUGUUCCAAGUGUAAGACCCACUGCUUAGCAACAAAGAAGCUGGAUCUCUGGAGGCUUCCACCCUUCCUGGAUUAUUCACCUUAAGCGAUUUCAAUUUGUAAAUGAUCAGUGGAUAAAAUCACAGAAAAUUGUCAAAUUUCCUCGGGAAAGUUUUGAUCCGAGUGCUUUUUUGGUACCACGAGACCCGGCUCUCUGCCAGCAUCAACCACUCACACCCCAGGGGGAUGAGCUCUCCAAGCCCAGGAUUCUGGCAAGAGAGGUGAAGAAAGUGGAUGUGCAGAGUUUGGCUGGGGA
rnacentral:lncRNA from 1 species